rnacentral:lncRNA from 1 species
UCAUUUUUGCCAGUUGUCUAACUCAAUUAGCCGACAAGUGUAAAAGGAUAUAUUUUUGGCGCAAAGUUUUACAAGUAAAAAUAGUUUUCAUUGUCAUUUUAUCUGCUGUAAUACUUUCAAACAUUAGAUUCUUUUAUUUCUUUAUUUAGGUCGUUCUCAUGUCGGAGCUUUACUUGGAAAUAGGGGUUAAAUCUAAAAUAGACGGACACGUGUACUAAUGUUAUAUCGAAUUAAUUGUAACAUAUCAGUUUACGGAAAAGGAUUUAAUAUUUUUAGUUGUGUUUUUAUAGGAAAUUUGAACACGUGUACUUGUUUUUGAAAAAUGUGCUUAUAUGGUGCCGGAUAAA